GAAAUGCGAUAAGUAAUGUGAAUUGCAGAAUUCAGUGAAUCAUCGAAUCUUUGAACGCACCUUGUGCUCCUUGGUAUUCCUUGGAGCAUGCCUGUUUGAGUAUCAUGAAAUCUUCAAAGUAAAUCUUUUGUUAACUCAAUUGGUUUCUACUUUGGUAUUGGAGGUCUUUGCAGCUUCACACCUGCUCCUCUUUGUUCAUUAGCUGGAUCUCAGUGUUAUGCUUGGUUCCACUCGGCGUGAUAAGUUAUCUAUCGCUGAGGACACUGUAAAAGGUGGCCAAGGUAAAUGCAGAUGAACCGCUUCUAAUAGUCCAUUGACUUGGACAAUACUUUUAUGAUCUGAUCUCAAGUCAGGUAGGACUACCCGCUGAACUUAAGC
rnacentral:misc_RNA from 1 species